rnacentral:rRNA from 1 species
GACGAACGCUGGCGGCGUGCUUAACACAUGCAAGUCGAACGGAAAGGCCCUGCUUUUGUGGGGUGCUCGAGUGGCGAACGGGUGAGUAACACGUGAGUAACCUGCCCUUGACUUUGGGAUAACUUCAGGAAACUGGGGCUAAUACCGGAUAGGAGCUCCUGCUGCAUGGUGGGGGUUGGAAAGUUUCGGCGGUUGGGGAUGGACUCGCGGCUUGUCAGCUUGUUGGUGGGGUAGUGGCUUACCAAGGCUUUGACGGGUAGCCGGCCUGAGAGGGUGACCGGCCACAUUGGGACUGAGAUACGGCCCAGACUCCUACGGGAGGCAGCAGUGGGGAAUAUUGCACAAUGGGCGGAAGCCUGAUGCAGCAACGCCGCGUGCAGGAUGACGGCCUUCGGGUUGUAAACCGCUUUCGCCUGUGACGAAGCGUGAGUGACGGUAAUGGGUAAAGAAGCACCGGCUAACUACGUG